UAUAUUUGCGCCGAUGAUAUAAGCCUACAUAAUAAUCAUUUAAAUAAUAUUGGAAUG
rnacentral:ncRNA from 1 species